UCUCUGAGGACGCCGGCCCACCUCCCUCGGGGGUUCCCAGCCGGGCGCCGGGGACGGACCCGCGCGGCCCUCGUCUACACCGCCCCCGGACGCCGGGGUCCGGCCGACAGCGCGGGCUUAGCGGGCAGCGGGCCUCGGACUGGUGCUGUUUGACCGCCUUCCCCUUGAGCUGGCUCCCGACGGGGAGGCAGCAGGUGGACCCGUCUUAAAGGACAGGACGAGUCUGGUGACAGCCCGAGUCGAGGGCUCCCAGGGCUGCCCGGAUCAGGUGGAGCGGUCCUUAGAGCAGACGCGGAAGACAGCCCGCGGCCACGCGGGCCGGGUGGGAGGAGAGGGCGCAGCCCGGAGCUGCAGGGGACAAAGCAGGCCUGCUGGGGCCUUGCCCUUCUCGGUUCUUAUCUUGUGGCCCAGAGGUGGACGGCUGGCUUAAAGAAAGAGGACCAGGCCAGCUCCUCUGUGGAGCUGACAGGCUCCUCCGGCGACCGUCACAGGCAGGGCUGCCAGAUACAACACAGGACACCAGUCAAACCUGAAUUUCAGAUCGACAAGCUGGCUGGCAGUCCUAUCCCAGGCAACAGAGAAGGUCCCACCUUCAGCAUCACACUCCUCAUCAGCUCUCAAUAAAGACCCCCACGAAGGAGGAAAGAUCCACAGGGCUGCAGAGAGAAGCAGGAAUGUGGGAACAGGCAGAAACGUGGUAAAGUAAGCUCCCUCUCCUGCCUCAAACAGCUUGAAGGUCAUGGUGAUGACAGCCCUUUAGAAACUCAACGCAAACGGUCCUUUUCUCCAGACCACAUCCUGGAAGCUCUUGAAAGUCUCAAAGCGGGACGCUGACCCAACCGGACUGCACUUUGAUGAAGACCAAGCCUGCAGCUGAGGAGGAGCGAGGUGAGGAGUGCAGCACAGUGGAGGGGAGCCCGAGGACCGGAAGGCGAGUGAGGGCACUGCUGCGUAAAUCCAGAAGUGUCUUCUUUUCACUGCAAAGUUAAAGGCUCCUUGAAGGCAGAGACCACAACUGUCUGGGAAGUACAAGGAAUGUUUGUUGAAUUGAAAUGAGCACUCCCUGGGGAGACUAAGAAGGUUUGUGAAAUAAAGGAGAAUCAGGCAGACAUAGGGGCUUCAGCUGGGUAAAUAGAGUCUAACCUGUGGGAAGACCCUGAUGGAAGGAAGGACCGGCAAGAGUGAAAUUAAGGGUAAGGCUGUGGCCUGGAGCCCAGGAUAGAGGCUGAUGCCCUGGGUUUAGGCUCCCUCCUUCUGUCAAGACGCAGAGACUCACAGAUGCUGCUAGACUCUGAGUAGAGCAGGGCUGGGGGCCGAGGCCCUUGGGGUGCUUGGAGUCAGCCCCCAACCCCAUGAAUUAGAGAAUGAAGAUGGUUUCAGGAAAUGCUCUGCGGUCAUUAGACACCCCUAGCACUCCCUCCUUGGAAAAGAACAUGCUUCCUUCCCUGACUCUCCCUGAGCCCUUACUGGCAACUUUUACAACUUGUAGGAGCCUGCAGUGACCACAGCCAGCCUGUCACUGCCAGGGAGCUCCCAUAAUUCAGCCUCAAAGCAAGUCUUUCUAGCCAAGCAUGUCUCUUUCAAAACUGGGGUGGAGAGUGAGGGAAAGGAAGAGAACCCCAGUCAGGAAGUGUCCCGAGGACAUUCGUGGCCUGAGCAGAGGCCCAGUGUGCUGGGUGCCCCCUUACGUGCAGGUCCUCAGAGACCAGGGUGUAUCUUUGUUCACCCCAUGUUGCACCUUCCGAUUGGAGAAAUGAAGGACCAAAUAGGAGAAAAGAGAAGCUCCCCAAGAUCUUCCCUAAAAUCCAGGAGGAGAAGGCGGGUGCCGCAUUCUUAAGAGUAAAUGCGUUCCAGAUCUGGAGACUAAAUGUGGUCCCAGGCACUCCGCGCCAGGAGGUCUGAGGAGCUGUAGACCAACUGCAGGAUUUGGGAAGCUCCCAUGCAUGUCACUCAGCCAUCUCCACAGCAUCCCUGGCGGGAGCCCCUCACUCUGUGUGGUGCAUUGGACUGUGAGAAGGAAGAAGCGGAGUGGAAAGGAGCAGAGUGGUCAGUGGAAAAGUCGAGAGAAAGGAGCAAAGAGCAGGAAGAGAUGCUUCAAUGCAGUUUAAAGUUGCUCCAUAGUAGAGAAGAGGAAUUAAGACCACCGAAAGAGGUACUAAUUCUUUAGUCAUUCAUUUAUUCACUCACUCACACAUUUAGUGAGGGCCAGGCAUUGGAGGAGACAGACAAUGCCCUUAAGGAGUUUACCAUCAACUGUGUGGAGAUGGAGAGAGCCACAGAACUGUGAUACAAACGCCAUCAUAAAGGCAGAGAAAGGGCACGGCAGGAUUUCUGGUGAAGAGCUUGUAACGUGGAUUGAGAAGAUUGGGGAAGAUGGCGUCGCGGUUGAGCUUUGAAGAACGAGCAGGAUUCUGCUCUGAAGAGGCUGAGAGGGCAGUAUUAGAGAUCGGGCAAGGAGGCUGGUAAGAGGCCAUAGCAACAGUCUGUGAAGAGAUUACAACUCAAAGGCGGUAAGAAUAGAGGCAAGGUGACAGAGACCUUAGGAAACCUUCAGCCUCUUCUGAACCAAACCAUCUGAGCAAGACUCAAGAGACAGCUAUUGCUGAAGGUAGAACCUGAGGAGAAAGAAAUGGGCCCCCAGGGUCAGAGGAGGGGGUUUCUGUAGUGCCCACUGUAGGAAUGUCCUGCAGCUAACACAUCACACACAUCAAGUGGUGGCUGCUUAGACCCAUGGACUCUCUCAUCCUCCCCCGGAGUUUCAGUGCAGGUGGCAGUGAGGGGAGUGUCCUUCUUCAUUAACCAGCUGCCUCUCAGGCGUCCAAUAUUCUGGCCCCUCUCAGACUUGGAGAAAGGACAGGGCAGGGGCUGAAAUGCACCUGCGCUCUGCGCCCUGGGAAUCCUGCCCCACAGCAGUCCUCAACCAUCCUUCCUAAGGCCAUGUUAAUACCAGCCGGGCUGGGGCCGUAUUGUCCCAAUUGCCUAAUUUACAGGUGAGGAACCUGACGCUCUGAAUCUGCUCAAGGCCUCACAGGAGGUAGAAGUCAGUUCCAAACUCAGGAUAGAAGCUGAUGUCACAGUUGAUGCUCUUUCUGCUUGUUCUACACCUUCUCACCAGACCCAGGAGGCGACAGGACAAGAGGAAGGGCAGGAACCCUGCUUCAUUCCAUUCUCAGGUCUGCCACACUCUCUGGUGACCUUGUGCAAAUUACUCAC
rnacentral:lncRNA from 1 species